rnacentral:rRNA from 1 species
GACGAACGCUGGCGGCGUGCUUAACACAUGCAAGUCGAGCGGAAAGGCCCUUCGGGGUCCUCGAGCGGCGAACGGGUGAGUAACACGUGAGUAACCUGCCCCAGACUUUGGGAUAACCCUCGGAAACGGGGGCUAAUACCGGAUACGACACAGCUUCGCAUGGGGUCUGUGUGGAAAGUUUUUCGGUUUGGGAUGGGCUCGCGGCCUAUCAGCUUGUUGGUGGGGUGAUGGCCUACCAAGGCGACGACGGGUAGCCGGCCUGAGAGGGCGACCGGCCACACUGGGACUGAGACACGGCCCAGACUCCUACGGGAGGCAGCAGUGGGGAAUAUUGCACAAUGGGCGGAAGCCUGAUGCAGCGACGCCGCGUGAGGGAUGACGGCCUUCGGGUUGUAAACCUCUUUCAGCAGGGACGAAGCAUAAGUGACGGUACCUGCAGAAGAAGCGCCGGCCAACUACGUG